rnacentral:rRNA from 1 species
GACGUAGGGUCCAAGCGUUGUCCGGAUUUACUGGGCGUAAAGGGCGCGUAGGCGGCCUUCUAAGUCGAACGUGAAAUCCCCGGGCUCAACCCGGGAACUGCGUCCGAUACUGGAAGGCUUGAAUCCGGGAGAGGGAUGCGGAAUUCCAGGUGUAACGGUGAAAUGCGUAGAUAUCUGGAGGAACACCGGUGGCGAAGGCGGCAUCCUGGACCGGCAUUGACGCUGAGGCGCGAAAGCCAGGGGAGCAAACGGG